CCGAUUGGACAGUGCUGCAACUCCACCCUGAGUGACAGUUCCUGCACCAACCCGAGAGCAAAAGAAGCUGGAAUGGUGGGUCCUGGCCUAUAGAGCUCAUAGGUGUGCUUUCCCCCCUGCAUCUUUCCCUGGCUUCUGGCUCUCAGUCCAAGACACAAACUGUAACUGGAAAAGAAGCUCAUGAAGGAAGCAGAAGAAAUGGGGGCUGGUGUCAUUUGAGGAUGUAGCUGUGGACUUCACCUGGCAGGAGUGGCAGGAGCUAGAUGCUGCUCAGAGGACCCUCUACAGGGAUGUGAUGCUGGAGAACUACAGCAGCCUGGUGUUCUUGGGCAGACAUACAAGAAAUCAUCUUUCCACCCACUAUGGAGGAAGUGAAAUGCCCAAAGAACAGUUCCAUGUGUUCGAGCUUGGUGACUUAAAGUGUAUUUGGGGUAUUUAGAGGGACUCAAGACUCUUAGACAGCUCGACCACUAAAAAGCCAAAUCCUAGUCAUUUUUUACCUCUGUGGCACAGGCAAGUUGGGAGAAGGGGUCUGGAUUGGCAUCUCUGUUGAGAGGUUCGUGACAGUCUUCUGUGGGAGUGUUAAUGACCCACUACCAUUAUCAUAGACCUAAGAGCUUGCUAUAUCUGUUUAUUUCACUGCCUUGUUUGUGUGCCAAGUUUUCCUGCAGGUCACCACAGCCGCUCUGCUUUAAUGUAGUGAUGGUCAUUUCUUGCUCAGUGGAAAUAGUUAUGUUCCAACCUCGCAAAAAGCUCUCCAUUUCUGUCCUUUUGAGGUGGGAGAUUUUUUUGCAUUUUAAUGCAUGAAUAUUAUUCAGUCACAUCUUUUCCAAAAUAUUUGUAUUUUUCAUUGUUUGACAGCUCCCUAUAUCUUUAUAAUUAGUUUUAGUUCUGUAUUAUUUAUGUGUUCUUCCAUUGAUGGAUGCUGACCUUGAUCUGUGUCUUGGCUUUAUGCACAGUGCUGCAGUGACAGAGGAUUGCAGAUUUCUCUGCACAGUAAUGGUUCCAUUUACUUGGCUACAUGUGGGCAGCAGUGGUGUCUGUCAUUCACAGUCAUUCUGUGUUUAUAUUUUGUUGGGUUAUUUUCUUUGAUACAGCAUCUCUCAUAGCCUAGACUGGCCUCAAACUUCCCAAAUACCCAAAGCUUGCCUUGAACUGUGGAUCCUCCUGCCUUCACCUGCUGAGUGCUGAGGGCGCAGGUGUGCCCAGUCCGGGCUUACUGUCUAGUCGUUGGAGGAAGUCUUGCAAUGUAUUUCACAGCAGCUGUGAGCAUUUAUGUUCCUACCACCAGCUUAUGAGACUUUUCAGGGCUUGUUGUUUGGUGUCGUGGGUAAGACACAUUCGGACCUCCAUGCAGUGAUCCAUCCUUGUGCUUUUGAUUGACCUUUCCCUGAUGAUAAUGGGUGGCAAGCAACCAUUCCUAUGUUUAAGAACUGUUUGUGUGUCAUGUUUGGGAAAUGGCUGUUGAGGUGAUUUAAGGAGAUUCAAUCAGACCAUUUGCUUUUGUGUCAUUUAACACUAAUAUUGAAUGUAUUAGUUAGCUUUCCCCUCUUUAAUUGCUUGAGACUCUUAAUAUUCAGAAAUUUGUCACUUGGUGAAUAAAUGCAAUUUUUUUCAUCAUUCAGUUCAAUUAUUCUAUGAUUGCACCUUUUCUCUACAGAUAUUUUUGAGUUUCUUGGCGUCCUGAUGACAGAUUUUUGCUGUCGCUGUGUCUUUAGCAGACAUCCAAACUCCCUUGUCACCCUCAUUUUCUUCACUCCUGACUCCAUGCCCCAGGAGGCCUCCUUCCUACAGACCUUGCAUUUCCAUAGAUUGAUCUAUUUUUAGUGUAUUCUGUUUCCUCUUUAUGCAUUUUUUGAGAUCUUUAUGCACUUUUUAAUGCUGUUUCCAUGCUGCCUUGAAUGGUUCAUGGCUGAGAAUGGUCUUGAGCUACUGCUCCUCUUGCUGUGCAUCCUGAGUGCUGGGAUUCGAGAUAUGUGCAGCACACACAGGUCUGUCUCUGAACAAUUUACAGAUGAGAACUUCCCUCCAUGGUCUGUAGAAAUGGCUCAGUGGUUAAGAGUGCUGGCUCUUCUUGUAGAGGACCCAGGCUAAUUCCCAGCACCCACAAUACAGCUAACAACUGUCCAUAACUCUAGCUCUAUGGGAUCCCACACUCUCUUAAAAAUAAAAAAAGAACUUCCAUGCAGACUCUAGUCUUGAGUUGAAGCCAGGGCUGAACAUCAGUUGACUGCAUUAGUCAGCUUUCCAGGUCUCUGGCAAAACACCCGAGAGAAACACCUGAAAAGGAGAAAGAUGUGUGCUGGAUUGGCUUUAAAGGAUUUGGUCUAUGGUUACUUGGUCUCACUUUGGUACUGUGGUGAGGAAGAGCACUGUGACAGUGAACACUGGCAGAGUCUGCUAGUCACCUCCCUGCAGGCAGAACUCAAAGAGAGGAGAUGACGUCCCAAUAUCCAGCCUUUGGUUGUUGCCAUGAUGUCAUUUCCUUCACUGGGUUCUACCUACUAACAGUAUCAGAGAUUGCUGACCAAGACUUAGUACCCGGCUUCUGGAGGGCAUCUUAAAGCCUCAGUGUAAAACUGAACAUGUGUAGAUUUGCUUUGGGUCUUCCAUUCUGUUCCUUGUUGUCUGUUUGUCCUUUUAUGCCAGCACCCUGGUGCUUUGCUUAAUAGCUCUUUAUAGUGGGUUUCAAAGGUAGAUAUCAUGAGCUAGAUUUUUGUGCUUUUUAGGUCAAGAUGCUCUGACAGUUUCUGUUCUCUGGUUUAUUCACAUGAUAUUUAAGUCAUUAUUUUAGGACAAGGUUUUUUGCUGUUUCUAUAGAGAAAUGUGUUGGUGUUAUGAUACAGAUUUUACUGAAUCUGUAAAUCACUAAGAAGUGUGGGUCUUUAAUAAUAUUGCUUCUUUCAGCCUUUUAAUAAUUUUCCUGUUUUAAAAAUAUUUUUAUUAAUUAAUUAAAAAUAUUUUAUUGCUUUUAUUUUAUGUGUCUGACUGUGUAUA